rnacentral:misc_RNA from 1 species
AAAGGAACCACUCAAAUUGAAUUUCAAUAUAAUUUGGAAAUUUAACAAAUGAAAAUGAAAAAUGAAUCCACCAUGGAAAAAAAUAACACACAAACUCAACACAAAAGUAAAUUUUCAUAAGAUAAGAUAACCAUACAAAAGACAUUUUAGGUGGUUCAACUUUUUGGGGUUUUCAAUUUGAGUGUCUGAAUUUUAUUUCUAUGGACUUAACUACCUGAACUGAAAACAAACUUGCAAUCAAGUACCUUUACACUUUCCAAGUGAUUGGAAAUGCAUAAUAGAUUAAAAUAUAGGAAAGCAUGGAAAUUAUAAUAUUUAAUAUAUUUUUUUAAACAUAGGCAUGGAAUAUUUAUUUAUUUAUUUUUUUAAA